UACGGGGGGAGCAAGCGUUGUUCGGAUUUACUGGGCGUAAAGGGCGCGUAGGCGGCCACCGCAAGUCGACUGUGAAAUCUCCGGGCUUAACCCGGAAAGGUCAGCCGAUACUGCGGGGCUAGAGUGCAGAAGGGGCAACUGGAAUUCCUGGUGUAGCGGUGAAAUGCGCAGAUAUCAGGAGGAACACCGGUGGCGAAGGCGGGUCUCUGGGCCGUAACUGACGCUGAGGAGCGAAAGCAUGGGGAGCGAACAGG
rnacentral:rRNA from 1 species